rnacentral:misc_RNA from 1 species
GAUGAAGAACGUAGCGAAAUGCGAUAAGUAAUGCGAAUUGCAGAAUUUCCGUGAGUCAUCGAAUCUUUGAACGCACAUUGCGCCCACUGGUAUUCCGGUGGGCAUGGCUGUUCGAGCGUCAUUAUCCUCCCUCAAACCCCGGGUUUGGUGUUGGACCGAAGUUGUGUGAACAACUGGUCUAAAAAACAAUGACGGCGUCCGUGGGACCCUCGGUGCAACGAGCUUUUAGGAGCACGCGCCGAGUUGCAAGGACCUUCCGGGCCGGUCUCCUUUUACUAUUUUACAAGGUUGACCUCGGAUCAGGUAGGAAUACCCGCUGAACUUAAGCAUAUCAAUAAGCGGAGGA